rfam:Cajanus cajan CcLG11_1611, whole genome shotgun sequence.
AUACCUUUCUCGGCCUUUUGGCUAAGAUCAAGUGUAGUAUCUGUUCUUAUCAGUUUAAUAUCUGAUAUGUGGGUCAUAGACUCACAUGAUAUUAAAUUUAUUUUUUAAGGGAGGGAGUUCAUAUCAGUAGCUUGCUAUUGGAAUUCCCAAGUGUCGCUUAUGUUUUGCACUACAGCAUGAGCCUGGCACACCCUCC